ensembl:lincRNA
CCUCCAGGCGUCACAGCCCAGAUUUGAGCUCCCUGCCUCUGCCGGCCAGUUCCCAGCGGCUCUCUGUUUCACAUGUGAUAAUGUGUAUUUUUCAGCGAUACUCUUGGACUCGUCCCUCCCUCUCCUCCCCUGCCUGUUCCCUCUGUCUGCGUCUCCACGGCUGCUCUGCAAAGAGGUUCUUCAGUACCAUCUUUGUAGAGUCCACACACACGCCUUAACAUACAUAUGUUUUUUCUCUUCCUGACCUACUUCACUCUGUAUAAUAAGCGCCAGGCUCUUCCACUUUAUUCCCUUUCUAGCUCAUCCUGCCUUCCUGGUUCAGACCAUGCUCCGAUCUUCCCCGCGCGUCUGGGGUCGGUGGCUCCCGGCUCUGCAGUGAGUGGUGAAACUGCAAAAUCAGGUUGGAGCAGGCGCUUGGUGGAAGUCUUUUCUGAUCCCAUCACAGACAGACUAUGAAGAAAACAAAAAAAGUUCCUGUAUAUCUUGGGUCCUGCCUUACUUUCUUUAGAACAGUUCCUCAGAGCUACCUGAGAGUCUGCUUCACUGGCUAGUCUUCGGUAAGGCCCUUGAAUAAAACGUAACACCUAAGUUGUAGGUUGUGUGUGUGUGUGUUUCAAUUGUCAAUAGUAGCCCCCCCCCCCUUUUUUUCUUACUUCUGCUCCUUCAUUGCCAUGUUAUUCAUCGAGGCUUUGGAUAAGAUCCCUUGAAAGAGAAAGGAAGGGAAGGGAAUCCUAUGGGAGUAGAGCGUCAUAAGGGUUUUAGCUGUCCCUGGAAUUCAGACACUUCCUCUGUUGGGCAAGAAUAAUUGUAGUUCUUUUAUGGAGAAAUGCAUGGCGUAACUGAGCAGGAUCCUAGGGGGCCUUCCUUGGGCACACCCCUCCCUCCCUACUACAAGCUCUACCUGUCUCUUGUUUGUAGGAAAGGUUUCCUCUCCCAGGCCCUCAAAGGCUAGCUCUAGAGGUGAGGAUUGGAAACAUUCGAACAUGCAGUAACAAAAGCUAGCAGUUGGGCCAGGAGUUUUUAUUCAGUCACUAAGUCGUGUCCAGCUCUCUGCAGCCCCAUGGACUGCAGCACACCAGGCUUCCCUGUCCUUGACUAUCUUCCAGAGUUUGCUCAAAUUCACGCCCACUGAGUGGUGGUGCUAGAUGACCAUCUCAUCCUCUGCCGCCCCCUUCCUGGGCCAGGAGAACUGGUAACAGUGGAAACAGAGCAGCCACAGAAGGCACGGAGUCUUCAGUUCCUCCCUGAAGGACACAGAUAGAUCUGAUGCACAUUCCUGAGGUGGUCUGCAGAUGCUACAACCACCACCACCACCACUGCUGCGCAGUGAGCAGACUGUAGCCCUGACACAAAUGACUCCAUCUGGAGCAGUACCAAAUCUGUGGCUUGCAUACUUCCAGAAAUUCGCCCCAAGAAAGUGGAACCAAACUGACCCUGGAGUUGAAGAUUAACUGUGAUUAAAACAAGACGAGUCCAGCCAGACCACAGCGUUACUCACUUCAAGAUGACCGGCAGGGCUGGCUGUGCUGCUCUGCCCACAAGCCCCACCCCUUCACCCCGGACACUUCCUGGUUUUUCCCUGUGAAAUCUUUUUCUCUCCAACUGAAAGCUUGGAGACGGUUUGGGGGUACACCUGCCUUCUAUCUUCCUAGGUUGCUGGCCUCCUGAAUAAAGCUUCUUUCUUUUCCCACCAGUUCUUGUGUCUCUUGAACAUUGACUUUUGAGUGAGAGCAGCUGAACCUGAGUUCGUUUCCAGCCCUUCUGGUAACCUCAGGAACUAUGAACAAAGUUUAAAAAGUAAUCCAGUAUGGAAAGAUAUUCAAGUUACAUUGAACAAAAAUGACAGAGGUUGCCAAACAAUAUGUAUGAUAUAAUAUGUGUGCAAGAGUCAAAGGAUGUGCACAGGAAUAUACAUCCUUUCUGUAUAUACAUGUAUUAAACAUAGCUAGACAUGUAUUAAAUAUAUAUAUUUAUAUAUUUGUUUUGUGCAUAUACAUGAGAUGUUUAAGGAUAGAAAGCAUUCUAAUAAAAAUGACCACCUUUAGAGGAACAACGUUGAAGUGUGUGUUUCCUCUAAGUACAUCUGUAUAAUUGGGUAAAAAAAACAAGCGCAUAUUGUUUUAAAUAAUAAAUGAAGAAAAAAUGUAUCAGAUUAUUCUAUCCUUCAGAGAUCACAUAGGCAGUCCUUCAGAUCAAAGCGUCCCUGAUCCUGUGUUUUCUACAGAACCCAGCAGACAAAAGUGAAAAGCAAAUUUCCCUCCCAGUAGAAGCUGGAUCCAGAGAAGGCGAUGGCACCCCACUCCAGUACUCCAGACACGACGGAGUGACUUCACUUUCCCUUUUCACUUUCAUGCAUUGGAGAAGGAAAUGGCAACCCACUCCAGUGUUCUUGCCUGGAGAAUCCCAGGGAUGGGGGAGCCUGGUGGGCUGCCGUCUAUGGGGUUGCACAGAGUCGGACACGACUGAAGUGACUUAGCAGCAGCAGCAGGG